UGUCUCCCCUAUUUCUUCUUUUCUUUAGACUAGCCAAACCCAAGCCAUGCAGCCAUUCUUUGUAUAUUUUUGUCUCCAGGCCUUUGAUCAUCUUUGUUGCUCUUCAGACUGAGAAAACUAGAAUAGGUCGUGAGGAGGAACUGGAACGGCCCCUUCCACUUAGGUAAUAAUGGUGAUUUCCUGACGAAUGACUUGAUCCAGAUCCAGUCUCCCAUCUCGAAGGGAUGGAGGUUUUCCUUGAAUGGCAAGGUCUGGGUCAAGGCACUACAGUCUGCAGAGCUGUUGGUGUAAGGCUGAGAGAUGUGAUGGUGCCAUGCUGUUUUCAGAGCAGUGGCAUGGUGACAGGGAAAAGCCUCCACCCAGCGAGUGAGCUGGUCUCUGCAGACCAAGGCAUAUUGGAAACCGGUUGCCCUGGUGCAUAAAAGCAUAAUUGCUGUUUUGGAAAAAAAGUUAUAACCUACUGAGGACAUCUUGUGGCGAAACCUGGCACAACAACUGAAUUUUUCUGACUGUGAAGCUUGUUGGCUCUCUUGAUUUGUCCUUCACAUUAUCAAAAAAGAUAAGAAUUGGAAACAGCUGGGCGGUGAAAACAACUUCUAGAAAUUGUGGAGGUGGACAUUGGCUGACUCUUUCUAAACAUAGCCUCCAUAAAAGAUUAUCUUUAACUACCAUAGAAAUGGAGGAAUUCUACCCACAACUUAACUAUAAACUUAUACUUGAAAAAAUUCUUGAAGCCACUGAGCUAAUAAAUUCCAGAGUAAAAGCCAAAGAUGUUAUCCCCAAACUACAAAGUGAACUUCAGACUCCAAAUGAUCAAAUUCUAAAUAAAAAAACAAUAGAAGAGGAACAACCCAUUACUAAAGACGAUUUUGUGCAACAAUAUAUACAACCUAUUGAGAACCUUGAUGACCAAAUAUUGACUUUAACCAAAGUACCUGCAACUCUCAAAGCAACAAGAACUGAACAACAACUACAAUAUACUGAGAACUUUGACAAUCUAGAUAAGCAAAUAACAAUGACAACACUGGAUAUGACUUUUUACUUUACUCAGAGCAAACUGGAAGAAGGAGGAGGAGAAGGAGAAGA